rnacentral:rRNA from 1 species
UACAGAGGUGGCAAGCGUUGUUCGGAAUUACUGGGCGUAAAGGGCGCGUAGGCGGUUCGUUAAGUCCUGUGUGAAAUCCCCCGGCUCAACUGCGGAACUGCACAGGAAACUAGCGGGCUUGAGUUCGGGAGAGGGAAGCGGAAUUCCGGGUGUAGCGGUGAAAUGCGUAGAUAUCCGGAGGAACACCGGUGGCGAAGGCGGCUUCCUGGACCGACACUGACGCUGAGGCGCGAAAGCUAGGGGAGCAAACGGG